rnacentral:lncRNA from 1 species
UCUUUAGCAUAAUGACCCAAUUUACCGCAGUUAUAGCAUUUAAGGGGAGGUUUUUGCUGACCUGGAUUGUUGUAAUUUUCUCUUAGCUGGAAAUGAUGAUUACCUCUUCCACGGCCACGAUAGUUGCCGGUGCCUCCACAACCUCUGCCUCGGAAACCAUGUCCUCCAGUUUCCGCCACAUUAGAAGAUUCUCCUUUCUCUUUAACUUUAGUAUGUGCCUGCAAUGCCUUCUCUGCCG